ACGUAGGGUGCGAGCGUUAAUCGGAAUUACUGGGCGUAAAGCGUGCGCAGGCGGCGCGUUAAGACAGGUGUGAAAGCCCCGAGCUUAACUUGGGAAUUGCGCUUGUGACUGGCGUGCUGGAGUGUGGCAGAGGGAGGUGGAAUUCCACGUGUAGCAGUGAAAUGCGUAGAGAUGUGGAGGAACACCGAUGGCGAAGGCAGCCUCCUGGGCCAGCACUGACGCUCAUGCACGAAAGCGUGGGGAGCAAACAGGA
rnacentral:rRNA from 1 species